GAUGAACGCUAGCCACAGGCUUAACACAUGCAAGUCGAGGGGAAACGGCAUUAAGUGCUUGCACUUUUUGGACGUCGACCGGCGCACGGGUGAGUAACGCGUAUCCAACCUUCCCAUGACUAAGGGAUAACCUGCCGAAAGGCAGACUAAUACCUUAUGGUCUUCACUGACGGCAUCAGAUGUGAAGUAAAGAUUUAUCGGUUAUGGAUGGGGAUGCGUCUGAUUAGCUUGUUGGCGGGGUAACGGCCCACCAAGGCAACGAUCAGUAGGGGUUCUGAGAGGAAGGUCCCCCACAUUGGAACUGAGACACGGUCCAAACUCCUACGGGAGGCAGCAGUGAGGAAUAUUGGUCAAUGGGCGAGAGCCUGAACCAGCCAAGUAGCGUGCAGGAUGACGGCCCUAUGGGUUGUAAACUGCUUUUGUAUGGGGAUAAAGUCAAUCACGUGUGAUUGUUUGCAGGUACCAUACGAAUAAGGACCGGCUAAUUCCGUGCCAGCAGCCGCGGUAAUACGGAAGGUCCGGGCGUUAUCCGGAUUUAUUGGGUUUAAAGGGAGCGUAGGCUGGAGAUUAAGUGUGUUGUGAAAUGUAGACGCUCAACGUCUGACUUGCAGCGCAUACUGGUUUCCUUGAGUACGCACAACGUUGGCGGAAUUCGUCGUGUAGCGGUGAAAUGCUUAGAUAUGACGAAGAACUCCGAUUGCGAAGGCAGCUGACGGGAGCGCAACUGACGCUGAAGCUCGAAGGUGCGGGUAUCGAACAGG
rnacentral:rRNA from 1 species